rnacentral:misc_RNA from 1 species
GAUGAAGAACGCAGCGAAACGCGAUAAGUAAUGUGAAUUGCAGAAUCCAGUGAAUCAUCGAAUCUUUGAACGCACAUUGCGCCCGCCAGCAUUCUGGCGGGCAUGCCUGUUCGAGCGUCAUUUCAACCCUCGACCUCCCCUUGGGGAGGUCGGCGUUGGGGACCGGCAGCACACCGCCGGCCCUGAAAUGGAGUGGCGGCCCGUCCGCGGCGACCUCUGCGCAGUAAUACAGCUCGCACCGGGACCCCGACGCGGCCACGCCGUAAAACACCCAACUUCUGAACGUUGACCUCGGAUCAGGUAGGAAUACCCGCUGAACUUAAGCAUAUCAAUAAGCGGAGGA